AAAGAUUAAGCCAUGCAUGUCUAAGUAUAAACGAUCUAAUCGUGAAACCGCGAAUGGCUCAUUAUAACAGCUAAAAUCUACUUGAUCUUGACACAAUCCUACUUGGAUAACUGUGGUAAUUCUAGAGCUAAUACAUGCAUUAAAGCUCUGACCUCACGGGAAGAGUGCACUUAUUAGAACAAAACCAAGCGGCUUCGGCUGUUUCUGGUUGACUCAUAGUAACUGAGCUGAUCGCACGGUCUUGCACCGGCGACGUGUCUUUCGAGUAUCUGCCGUAUCAACUUUCGAUGGUAGUGUAUCUGACUACCAUGGUGAUCACGCGUAACGGAGAAUAAGGGUUCGGCUCCGGAGAGUUCGCCUGAGAAAUCGCGAACACAUCUAAGGAAGGCAGCAGGCGCGAAAAUUACCCACUCUCAGCACGAGGAGGUAGUGACGAAAAAUAACGAGACCGUUCUCUUAUGAGGCCGGUCAUCGGAAUGGGUACAAUUUAAACCCUUUAACGAGUAUCUAUGAGAGGGCAAGUCUGGUGCCAGCAGCCGCGGUAAUUCCAGCUCUCAAAGUGCAUAGAAUUAUUGCUGCGGUUAAAAAGCUCGUAGUUGGAUCUGUGCCAUAGGACGUGGUCCACCUUCUGGGUGCGUACUAUGUUCCUAGGCUUUUUGCUGGUUUUCCCGUCGUAGCCUUAACUGGUUGCGGCGGGUGGCUGGCGAGUUUACUUUGAGAAAAUCAGAGUGCUCAACACAGGCGUAUCGCUUGAAUGAUUGUGCAUGGAAUAAUAGAAAAGGAUUUCGGUCCUCUUUUAUUGGUUUUGUGGACUGAGAUAAUGGUUAACAGGGACCAACGGGGGCAUUCGUAUCGCUGCGUGAGAGGUGAAAUUCUUGGACCGUAGCGAGACGCCCUACUGCGAAAGCAUUUGCCAAGAAUG
rnacentral:rRNA from 1 species